UUGAGGUUGCGUGGAUGAGGUUGCGCGAGUAUAAGUAACCUACAUUCCGAUGGAGUAAAAACAAAUGCUGUUCCCACCAACCUCCACCUUUUAUUAGUGAUAACCGGUGAUGGAAUUUCUACUACAGCACCAUGUCUCUGACCACAUUAAUAGUGAUUGCCGCUAAUCGGGAUUCAACGAUUACGUUUCUCCAAGAUCGGAGGUGUGUCAAGAGGAACCCUCCAGUCUGCCCGCAAUGCCAGAAAACCAUGGUCUUGGUAAGGACAGGGCAAUUGCGAAAUCCUGUCUUUAGGUGCUCUUCUCAUCGGUCUGAACAAAUGUCUCAAUUAAGCGGUUCCUUUUGGGAAAGGACUCGGGUUAGCUUGCCCCUUACAGUUAGCGUGGCAUGGCUGUGGGCCUUUAAAGUACCGAUAGUACAAGCUGUCACAGCCACCGGGUUAUCAGCACCAACUGUAGGUCAAUGGUAUAGCUAUUAUCGAGAUGUAUGUUCUCACUGGCUAAUGGAAAACCCGUACAAAAUUGGUGGACCAGGGUUAAUUGUUGAAGUAGAUGAAUCGGUAAUUGCUAAACGAAAGUACCACAGAGGCCGACUGGUUCGCGAGCGGUGGGUUUUCGGGGGUUAUUGCCCGACCACAAAGCAAGGAUUCCUUCAAAUUGUGAGACGAAGGGAUGCUGCAACCCUGGAGGAGGCUAUUACCAAAUAUAUUCAUCCCGGCUCCAUUAUCAUCAGCGAUGAAUAGGCUGGUUAUAAUGGAAUUGCAAGGAUGAAUGUUCAACCUCCGUUCCAACAUCUGACAGUUAACCAUUCUCAAAACUUCGUCAACCCCAUUAACGGUGCAUGCACAAACCACAUUGAAGUAUAUUGGAAAAACGCCAAGCAGAGGCUGAAGGCGAUGAGUGGGACAGUAAGCUCCAUGCUGCCCUCCCAUUUGGACGAGUUUAUGUGGAGGGAGAUCCAUGGCAAGGAUAGUGCCCAAGCAUUUAACAAUCUAUUCAUUCACAUUAGUGAAUGGUAUGUAGUAUAGGUUCUGUUUUUUUAAAGAUUGUUAUGGUGAAAUAUAUUUCAUUAAGCUAAACUCAUUCUAUUGAGUU